CCCUCAAGAUGAGAUUUCCCAAGUCAGUAAGACCCCUUGAAGACGACGAGGUAGAUAGGUUGGAGGUGGAAGCACGGCAACGUGUGGAGCUGACCAAUACUAAUCGGUCGAGGGCUUAUCCAAUAAAAUACCC
rnacentral:rRNA from 1 species